UACUUCUUAAAGUUUUUGAUUAAUUAUGCUAAGUUGUAUAGAUGCACAGUGAAAGUUAAACUUAGCAACAGUUUGAUGUAUAGAAUGUGACUUGAUUGAAUAUGCUUGCAACUAAAGGAUGUGCGGAUAAGAGUUAAGCAAGCAAUUUAUCUAAGUAAGUAAGUGUGUUAGUUAGACAAUGACAAGAGGCAUUACAAACACAACAAACAUAUAGUGGUUCGAUGCACCCCAGCACCUACAUCCACUCCCCAAGACCUCUUG
rnacentral:lncRNA from 1 species